rnacentral:rRNA from 1 species
ACGGAAGGCAGCAGUAGGGAAUAUUGCACAAUGGGGGAAACCCUGAUGCAGCAACGCCACGUGUGGGGAGAAGCAUUUCGGUGUGUAAACCACUGUCGUGAGGGAAUAAUGCUUGGCCUCGGCCAAGUUGAAUGUACCUCGAAAGGAAGCACCGGCAAACUUCGUGCCAGCAGCCGCGGUAAUACGAGGGGUGCAGGCGUUGUUCGGAAUCACUGGGCGUAAAGGGAGCGCAGGCGGAGAUGCAAGCAGUCUGUACAAUACCGGGGCCCAACCCCGGACCUGCAGACUGGACUGUUUCUCUUGGAUAGUUCAGGGGCAAGCGGAAUUCCUGGUGUAGCGGUGGAAUGCGUAGAGAUCAGGAAGAACACCGAUGACGAAGGCAGCUUGCUGGGGACUUAUAGACGCUCAUGCUCGAAAGUGCGGGUAGCAAACAGGAUUAGAUACCCUGGUA